AGGAGGUAGAGCGCAUUGAGAGAGCGUUUUAGAGUGAACAUUCUCUCAGCCUUAAAUCUUGUCAAAUUUUCUAAUCAAUAAAAAAAUUUAUUUGAAGUCUUCAUCACUUCCGCUUUCAGCAACUCUUCUUCACAAGUUUUGAUAUAAAGUUGCUAUAUUAAAACAGAGCGAAGACAGAGAGGAGCACAGAGCUUGCGAUCAAGGCGGUGGAGACCGGUAGAGAAAAUGCUGCAUUGCCUUCACUGGGGGACGGUGCCGGGGACAGGUCUUGGGCUGAGGCGGCUGCAACGGCCAACAUCACAAUUGCCAAUGCCAUGGCCUUGAUCAUGCUACCCUGCAGAGAAGCCAUUUGUAAAAUGAGAGGAGAGGGUGUAAAUGGUGUUAAAGGUCUUGAAAUGAGAGGAAAGGGUGUAAAUUUGCUUGCGUGAUUCGAAGUUGUUUUUGCGAUUGCAUAGAGGUGGAAUGGUUAUGGUAUUUAUAUAGAGGUGGAAAGUCGACAGGUGGUGGGAGCGGGAGAGGAUGAAGACGGAAAAUUUGGUUCACCACCAACGUUUGAAUUUUAUUGUGUGGCUCACCUAAAAAUAUUACUAAAAGAGAAGUAGAUCAAAUAAUAGAAGAACUUGAUGGCA